ensembl:rRNA 5S_rRNA 5S ribosomal RNA
GUCUAUGGCCAUACCACCCUGAACACGCCCGAUCUUGUCUGAUCUCAGAAGCCAAGCAGGGUCAAGCCUGGUUAGUACUUGGAAUGGAGAAAGAAAUCUGCGUGCAAAGAACA